GAUGAACGCUGGCGGCGUGCCUAAUACAUGCAAGUCGAGCGAACGGGCGAGAAGCUUGCUUCUCUGAUGUUAGCGGCGGACGGGUGAGUAACACGUGGAUAACCUACCUAUAAGACUGGGAUAACUUCGGGAAACCGGAGCUAAUACCGGAUGAUAUUUUGAACCGCAUGGUUCAAAAGUGAAAGACGGUCUUGCUGUCACUUAUAGAUGGAUCCGCGCUGCAUUAGCUAGUUGGUAAGGUAACGGCUUACCAAGGCAACGAUGCAUAGCCGACCUGAGAGGGUGAUCGGCCACACUGGAGCUGAGACACGGUCCAGACUCCUACGGGAGGCAGCAGUAGGGAAUCUUCCGCAAUGGGCGAAAGCCUGACGGAGCAACGCCGCGUGAGUGAUGAAGGUCUUCGGAUCGUAAAACUCUGUUAUUAGGGAAGAACAUAUGUGUAAGUAACUGUGCACAUCUUGACGGUACCUAAUCAGAAAGCCACGGCUAACUACGUG
rnacentral:rRNA from 1 species